GCCUACGGGGGGCAGCAGUCGGGAAUAUUGCGCAAUGGAGGAAACUCUGACGCAGUGACGCCGCGUGCAGGAAGAAGGUUUUCGGAUUGUAAACUGCUUUAGACAGGGAAGAAAGAAAUGACGGUACCUGUAGAAUAAGCUCCGGCUAACUACGUGCCAGCAGCCGCGGUAAUACGUAGGUGGCAAGCGUUAUCCGGAUUUACUGGGUGUAAAGGGCGUGUAGGCGGGGAAGCAAGUCAGAUGUGAAAUUCCAGGGCUCAACCCUGGAACUGCAUUUGAAACUGUUUUUCUUGAGUGAUGGAGAG
rnacentral:rRNA from 1 species